AUAAACAAAAAAGAAAAAUAAUUCAACAAAAAAGAACAAACAAUAUAAAAAAGAACAUAAAUUUUUAGAGAAAGAACAACAAUACAACAAUUAUGAACAAUUUUAUGAUGAAUUUAAAGAACAACGUGAAAGAACAAGCAGUACAACAAGAAAAUAACAAACAAUACAGACGCGUCGUUUUUUAAGGGUACAGUCAGAGUUGGUUGUACCCGGGUAUAACAGUUAGGGGUUAAAGGAAUUAUAACAUUUUGGAUUUUUAUGUAAUAGCCCAAGCCCCAAUUCACCAUUCACUGUUUAACCCUAAAUAUAAAAGCUCUCUAUUACUCUAACCCUAACCAUUUUCAGAUUCUUUUACAGUUUUACCAGCCACCCUUUCUUUCUCUAAGAUAGCUCAUACACACUCUCUCUCUCUUAAUUUCCACCGCUUCUCCUAUUAGUCCCUAGUCUCCGCCGCCUUCUUCAACAGUUCAGCUCACCUCCUUAUCGUCUCACGUGACCACUUUAACCGGUAAUGUUAGUUGUUUUGAUUUUUUUUUUUGGGCUUUGUUAUUUUAGAUCUAUCAUUUUAUUAUAAUUUUUGUUGAUGUAUUAUGUUUUAUCAUUUUAUGUUGACUAUAGAGUAUAUUUAUGGAUUAUAUGUUAUUCUUAUAAUUAUAAUUAUGUCGAUCUUUAUGUUUAAUAAUUUCGAAGUCUAAAUGUUAAAUUUAUGUUAAUUAUGUGGACUCAUAGUUACGUUAGGUGUGGAUUAAUGGUUGAUUAUAGAGUAAAUUUGUGCAUUAAUUGUUAGUUUUACAGUAAUAUAUAUUUUUAUGGCAAGUAAGAUAUAUAUUACCAAUAAGAUAUAGAUAUCAAUUGCGUUUUUGUAAGUUGGUACAUAUACUGUAUAUAAUUGAUGUGAAUUUGAAUAAUAAUUACUCUGUUUAGUUUUGUUUUUUUGUUGCAAAAAAGAUGAACCAGCUCAAAAGCGGGAGAGGAGGAAGCCCAAAGUUUACUAUAAUGUUCAAGAAUAGUUUAACGGUAACUUUUACGUAAGACCGCCUUACCGGAAAGACCACUUUGAUUAUUUCACUAAUUGGUUUAAUUUCUUAACUAAUUAGUUUUAGUUCUUAACUUAUUAGUUUCAUUGUUUAACUAAUUGAUUUUAGUGCUUAACUAAUUAGUUGCAGUGCUUAACUAAUUGAUUUCAUUCUUUAACUUAUAUGACACCAAGGUGGGCUUUUGUGUAAGGCCGCCUUAUAUAAAAGUUACAAAUAGUUUAAUUAUGUUGUAAUCUUUAAUAUUUGUUGAAAUUUUUUUCGUUGUAAAUUUUAACUUUUGCGUUUUGAUUUUUGCCCCUGAUAAACUGAUUUUACAUGCUCGUCUUUUACUCUUUGCCAGUUAUAUGUUGCUCAAGUAUAUGUUAAAAACAAUUAAAACUAAUUCGGUAAAACAAUCAAACAUUUUCGUGUUGACCUAAAAUAAAAAUUAAAAUAUGAUUUCGGGUUAAACAGAUCAGGUCGGGUCAACCUGAAAAAUAACAGAUCGGGUUCAGGUUUGAGUUUUCAACCUGUUUAGUAAAACAGAUCAGGUUCAGGUCGGGGGGUUACAACUACUCCCUCCGUCCCGGAAUACUCGACCCGGUUUGACCGGCACAAAGUUUAAGGGACUUAAAUGGACUUAUUUAAUUUAAUAGGUAGUAGUUGAUAGUGGGGUAUUAUUUUAAUGUAGUUAGAGGGAGGUGGUUAAGAGGUGGGGUUGGGGGAGAGUAGGGGUUGAAUUUUUAAUUAUUUUUUGUAUGAAGUAGGGGGUAGGUGGGUUAAUAGGGGUGGAGUGAGAAAUAAUAUAAUAUUGUUAGAAUAUUUCCAUUUUUAGAAACAUGUCAAGUAUUAAGGGACUACACGAUAAGGAAAACAGGUCAAGUAUUCCGGGACGGAGGGAGUAAUCGUUAACAGCUGUACCCGGGUACAGCCAGACCCCCCAAAAACGACGCGCUCAUAUUGUUUGUUCAUUCUUGUCGACUGUUUGUUCUUUUUUAUUGUACUGUUUGUUUAUUCUUAUUGUACUGUUUGUUCUUUCUCGUUGUACUGUUUGUUCUUUCUUGUUGUACUGUUUGCUCUUUCUUGUUGUACUGUUUGUUCUUUCAUGUUGUUUUUUAAAUUCAUCAUCAAAUUUUCAUAAUUGUUGUAUUUUUUGUUCUUUCUUCUGGAAUUUUAUGUUCUUUUUUAUAUUGUUUGUUCUUUCUUGUUUAUUUGUUUGUUUAUAAUAAUCAUUUGGUUAAUGUUCAUAAUUAAACUCUUCAUUAAUCUUUUAUUCUUUCUUUUUGUAUUGUUUGUUCUUUCUUGUUGUAUUGUUUGUUCUUUCUUGUUGUUUUUUAAAUUCAUUCAUCAAACUUAUUGUUGUAUUGUUUGUUCUUUCAUGUUGGCUUUAAAAUUCAUCAUAAAAUUGUUCAUAAUUGGUGUAUUGUUUGUUCUUUUUUCUGGAAUUUUAUGUUCUUUUUUAUAUUGUUUGUUCUUUUUUGUUGAAUUAUUUGUUCUUUCUUGUUUAUUUGUUUGUUCAAUAAAUAUAUGGUUAAUGUUCAUAAUGAAAUUGUUCACUUCAUUGGUCUUUUGUGUUUUUACAAGCGCCUAUAUUGUUUAUUUCCAAAUAAAUAAAUAAAUGUUCAUUUCCAAAAUAGUAAAUGUUCAUUCCAAAUAAAUAAAUAAAUGUUCAUUUCCGAAAUAGUAAAUGUUCAUUUUUGUACCAGUAUUUGUUCUUUCUUGUUGUAUUGUUUGUUCUUUCAUGUUGGCUUUAAAAUUCAUCAUAAAAUUGUUCAUAAUUGUUGUGUUGGUUGUUCUUUUUUCUGGAAUUUUAUGUUCUUUUUUAUAUUGUUUAUUCUUUUUUGUUGAAUUAUUUGUUCUUUCUUGUUUAUUUGUUUGUCCACAAUUAAUAUAUGGUUAAUGCUCAUAAUGAAAUUGUUCAUUUCAUUGGUCUUUAUGUUUUUACAAGCGCCUAUAUUGUUUAUUUCCAAAUAAAUAAAUAAAUGUUCAUUUCCAAAAUAGUAAAUGUUCAUUCCAAAUAAAUAAAUAAAUGUUCAUUUCCGAAAUAGUAAAUGUUCAUUUUUGUAGUUUAUUUCCAAAUAAAUAAAUAAAUGUUUAUUUCCAAAAUAGUAAAUGUUCAAUCCAAAUAAAUAAAUAAAUGUUCAUUUCCAAAAUAGUAAAUGUUCAUUUUUGUACCAGUAUAUUAAUGUUCAUUUUAAACAACACAAAAUGACAUCGUUUUGGAUGGGGGUACAACCAGCUUUGGCUGUACCCGGGUAUAGCCAAAAAUUUGCGGGUCACAACCCGAUUAUAGUUGACCCGAACAUGAACCUGACCCAAACUGACCUGAUUGCCAGCCCUAUAUAAAACCCUAUCCAAAAUAAAAUACUCUAAUAAUUAAAAAAUAAAUCUAAAUAAAAUUCAAUUCAAAAGCAAACACUAGUGUAAAAAAUAUAGUAUAUAAAAACACUAAUCUCAUAUUUACGUAAUAAAAAUUGGAGACUUUUAGAAUUGUCUAAUAACACUCCGAAAAGUUUAAGACGACCCUGAUUCAGUAGUUCAACGUAAUUCACAUGCAUUAAUUUGAGAGUAGCAUUAGUAGUCGGGUGAGCAUCGAAAAAGGCGUAAAUUUAUAAAGGAAAAAUAAUCUUUCACUUUUAACAUACUUUCACUGUGCAAUAUUUAUAAUUAACCUUUGACGUAAUGUGAAUUUAUAAAAGAAAAUAAUAAAAAAUAAAAUAUAAUGGUAAUCUCUAAAAUUGUAAGAAAUAUGGAACAAUUAAUAUCAUAUUAUCAGUGACAAAAAUAUAAUGAUACAAUUUUUUAAAAUAUCGCUGGGAAUAUAAAAAAGAUUCCAUUGUAUAAAUUUGACUGUGUUCAGUUAUAACACUUGUAACACUAAAAACUAUGUACUCACUCCAUGGUAUGUACAUUUUUGUUAUUUAGUAAAUUUUAUUUGAGUUAUUGUAUAACCAAUUUUCUAAACAAAUUUGUCUUUUUUCCUUUGUUGUUUUUUUCUCUUUCUAAAUGUGGUUGGUAUGGUUGUUAAUGGUUCACUUUAACCUUUAUUUUUAUUUUUUAACAAAUAGUGCCUUUUAUUAACAAUUGUUCAUAAAUUCUGCCUAGUUUGUGCUUCUUUUAUAUUUACAACUUCGUUCAAUAUUUCAUUUUCCCACUUAGACUUCUUUUUUUGUUCCCUAAAUUUUGUGAUAUUAUUUCAAUUGAGUGAUAUUGGGGGUUAACACAAAAGUUAAAAUGAAACUCAUGCUUACACAAAAAAAAAUGAAACAAAACCCGUGCAUUACCCGAAAUACCGCUUAAUAACAUAAGUACAAAAUAAUUAAUAUAAUAAAAAUUAAAACGAAACCGGUGCAUUGCACGGGAUUUAAUACUAGUAUACAAUUGAAGAGAACAUACUUGCGCAAUUAUUAGAGCGCCAUGUAAGGAAUCAUUAUAUUCGGCCAAUGAGAAAUAAGAAAUCUAAUUUAUUUUAGAAUUAAAAAAUAAUUUUAAAAUCAUUAGAUUUCGGCCAAUGAGAAAUAAGAUUUCUAAUCUAUUUUGGAAUUAAAAAAUACUCGUGCCACAUAGAUAAAUAAAUAAAUAGUUUUCAUGUACAUAUUUUAAUUAAUUGAAUUAAAUGAAUGUUUCCAACAAUGAGAUAAAUAUUUUGUUUCAAAUUGUGCAUAGCAUUAGUGUGUAGUUUCUUCUUAUAAAGAAGUGUGUGGCCACAAUAUAUACAUUAAAUCCUUUUGUUUUUGUGAUCUUUUCGUGCCUAAUUAGCCAUUGUUUUCUUAAUAAAUUUUUUUUGUUUGUUAUUUUCGGAGUUACAUUAGUGAUUGUGAUUUUUGAAGGCUACUAAUCACGUCGAGCACUGUGAAAGAAAGAAACUUUACAGCAUUGUUCAAACUUACUAUUUGGUGACAAUAGAGAGGAAGCAAGAGUCGAGGAGUAUCAAGAAUAUUUUUUUUUUGACAUAAUCAAGAAUAAUAUGUAGCCAUCAUUCAACCAUUACCGUUAUCAUUGAUUCAUGAGAUAAAAGAAUAGCAAAACAACUUCAUUUUUUACUCCUUAUCUAAAUCAUAUCCAUGAAUUAUACUAUGUACCUCACCAAACCCCACAAAUUCUAAACAAUGAGGUCUAUUUCGUUUAGCACAUGAAGUGCAAAAUAUUUUAUGUACUCUAACCAACUAGUCACGUGUCUACCUUUUCAAUAAUGUAAAUACGAAGUAUUUAGUUUUAA